CCUCAAUGUAUAGAUCAAAGCCAGCCAGACGAAUGUGGAUUCCAUACUGGUCGGGCAUAUGCUCAGGAUACAUGAUGCUGUGCUCCAGUUAACCGGACCACUUCUUCUUGAAGCAUGGUGUAACUUUUCUUGCCACCAAAUUUAAUUACUCUUUUAAAAAUAUAGGAAAUAUGGUAAAAAAAAAUAUCAAAAGCUAUUAAUCAUUAUC
rnacentral:lncRNA from 1 species